GACGAACGCUGGCGGCGUGGAUUAGGCAUGCAAGUCGCGCGACGCAGAGGAGCAAUCCUUUGACGGAGCGGCGAACGGGUGAGUAACACGUGAACAACCUGUCCCUACGUUCCGGAUAAUUGACCGAAAGGUCUUGUAAUACGGGGGAGGGUCCGUGGUGGGGCGAUCUCAUUAGGAAGGAACGCGCAAGCGGCGGCGGGGAGGGGUUCGGCGGAUUAUCAGCUUGUUGGUGAGGUAAUGGCCACCAAGGCGACGACGAUUAGCUGGUCUGAGAGGAUGGGUCAGCCACAUUGGAACUGGAGACACUGUCCAGACUCCGUACGGGAGGCUGCAGUCGAGAAUCUUGGGCAA
rnacentral:rRNA from 1 species